GUGGGAGGGACCAUACCAAGUAUUGUUGACCAUGCCCACGGCAGUAAAGGUUGCAGAGAAAUCGGCUUGGAUACAUGCAUUGCAUUGCAAGAAAGUGACUGAGGACGGGAAGAGCAGAGUCCCAGAAAAAGCCUUGCAGGCUCUGUUUGAGGAACCCCAGUAACCAGAGACUAAGAGGAGAAAGAGGACAUGAUAAUGAAUAUCUGAUGGACCUUUGCUUUGGACAAACAACAUGCCAUGAUGAACAAGAAUGACCUUUAUGCUGACAAGACCUACUGAGAAGUCCAAUUGAUGUGAAUGGGAGAUCCAAGACUCAUGGAGCCAGUCUGCCAUCUUCAGGAGAAGAUCGGGCCGUGCAAUUAGCUCAACUGACCAUCUUUGGCACUUCCGGUUAUUCCCCGUCAAUCAUUCCAUGUUCCCCAUGAUAUCUAGAUACACACCCCAUUGAUUAAUCAGUUAUGAAUUAUUGUAUAAUCAUGUACUAUAUAUAUAUGUAAACCUAAAUGUCCUGAAGACACAGGUAUCAUUGAUGAAGUCUGUCUUGGGUCACGCUCUUCUGCACAGAAUAAUGGGCGUGGCCUCUUAUUUGAUAAUAAAUUGUAUAUGCUGAAUAUCAUUACAA